CACUUUCCUUACCGUGACAUAUUACAUCUCCCCACUGAUCAUAGAAUUCCUUUCCAUCAGGAAAGCAACGCCAGAAGAAAUCUGGCCGGGGUCGACCAACAGCAUUUUUUAUUGCGUCCGUGAUGACAGCAGUAAUCAAAACAGAAAAUAAUAGGCCUAAAAUGCUGUGGUGCAAAUCAUAAACAUCUUUCCUUCGAAUGUAAAAGAAAAUAAAAAUAGCAAUGGGCAACAGAACUGCAUACAACGGCACAGACCAUGUAGGCACCGUGUUGUCUUUGAAAGGAUAUUUAAGGUCUUCCAUCAUAUCCUUUCCGACGAACCGAUAAAAUGGAUGGAUGAUGUAUAGAACGAUCUCUGUCACUACAAGGAGAAGUAAU
rnacentral:misc_RNA from 1 species